rnacentral:rRNA from 1 species
AUUGAACGCUGGCGGAAUGCUUUACACAUGCAAGUCGAGCGGCAGCACGGGGGCAACUCUGGUGGCGAGCGGCGAACGGGUGAGUAAUACAUCGGAACAUGCCCAGUCGUGGGGGAUCACACUUCGAAAGAAGUGCUAAUACCGCAUACGUCCUGAGCGAGAAGGCGGGGUAUCUUCUGACCUCGCGCGAUUGGAGUGGCCGAUGUCUGAUUAGCUAGUUGGUGGGGUAAAGUCCUACCAAGGCAACGAUCUGUAGCUGGUCAGAGAGGAGGAUCAGCCACACUGGGACUGAGACACGGCCCAGACUCCUACGGGAGGCAGCAGUGGGGAAUUUUGGACAAUGGGGGCAACCCUGAUCAAGCCAUUCCGCGUGAGUGAAGAAGGCCUUCGGGUUGUAAAGCUCUUUCGGCAGGAACGAAACGGCGAGCUCUAACAUAGCUUGCUAAUGACGGUACCUGAAGAAGAAGCACCGGCUAACUACGUGCCAGCCGCCGCAGUAAUAC